rnacentral:rRNA from 1 species
AUCACAUCCUGGGGCUGAAGUAGGUCCCAAGGGUAUGGCUGUUCGCCAUUUAAAGUGGUACGCGAGCUGGGUUUAGAACGUCGUGAGACAGUUCGGUCCCUAUCUGCCGUGGGCGCUGGAGAACUGAGGGGGGCUGCUCCUAGUACGAGAGGACCGGAGUGGACGCAUCACUGGUGUUCGGGUUGUCAUGCCAAUGGCACUGCCCGGUAGCUAAAUGCGGAAGAGAUAAGUGCUGAAAGCAUCUAAGCACGAAACUUGCCCCGAGAUGAGUUCUCCCUGACCCUUUAAGGGUCCUGAAGGAACGUUGAAGACGACGACGUUGAUAGGCCGGGUGUGUAAGCGCAGCGAUGCGUUGAGCUAACCGGUACUAAUGAACCGUGAGGCUUAACCUUACAACGCCGAAGCUGUU